rnacentral:lncRNA from 1 species
UAAGUCUCCCUAUUUUAAUUUAUUUUUUAAAUUUUCAUUCCAGUGUGCUACUUGUUUCUGGUAUACAGCAUAGUGAUUCAAUCCUUCUGUUCACCACCCGGUGCUCAUCACAAGGAAGCACAGACCCUUUAACUCAGCAGUUCGACUUCUGAGAAUUUCUCCCAAAAGAACAAUUGCAAAGGGAUACAAAGCUAUUGAUGCAGAAGGAGCGAUGAGGGGGAGAAGAGAGAAGGCAGGAGGGACACGUGCCACUGGGCAGGAAUCUAUCAUGGGCCAGGUGUUUUACAUACUUGACCUCAUUUGGUCCCCAGGAUACUUCAGGGAGCCAUAGGUGAAUUGUUAAUCCUGUUUGCAGUUAAGGAAACUCUCAGAUCAGGAGGUUGAUGUUCAGAGCAAUUUUAGAACAGACACAAGUUGAUCAGUUCACACUGAGGGGGAGCAGGAUAUAGCAUUCCAAACUAUGCCACUUUGGUAUAUUGAUUAUUUUGAAUGAAAGUUACUUAAGAAACAGCCUGUGCCAGAGGGCAUUCUGAUCUCCCCUGUCCCUCUGAAAGCACGAAAUAUCUCUCCCAUGAGAAAGGUGUUCUCCUGUCCCAGGAGGGGAGAAGGCAUCCUCCCUCACCAGACACAGAGUUCAGCACUGUGAAAAGUCUGUAUAAACAAACCUUGUUACUUCUUCACUAAUAUACUUGCCAAGCCCAAAUCCUUUUGUCUUAUCAAUUCUUCACAAAUGUGUUGCUUUCUUGUCUGAAAGGUAUGAAAGCCGCCUGCCUCACUCAUGUCUUUGAGUCUCAUAUUUUUAUGGGUUACCGUACAUAUGAAAUUAAUUUUUUUCUCCUGUUAAUCUGUUUUCGGUCAGUUUAAUUGUUAGACCAGCUAAAGAAGCAAGAAGGGAAGAAGGAAAAGUUUUCCUCCCCUUCAGUACCUCCAUCAAUCCAUGAAAUUGAGCAGGCCCAAGUGAAUUAGGGAACUCCCAAUUGAUAUCCAGCGCUCCUCGGAAAUCAAACACAAAACGAGCCUCUUGCUCAGUUUC